GGCCAAGUUAUUAAGGGCACACGGUGGAUGCCUUGGCACCAGGAGCCGAUGAAGGACGUGGGGAAGCUGCCAUAUGCCUCGGGGAGCUGUCAACCGAGCUGUGAUCCGAAGAUUUCCGAAUGGGGAAACCCGGCANGGCUUGAAAUCCUGUCACCCACGCCUGAACACAUAUGGCGU
rnacentral:rRNA from 1 species